rnacentral:rRNA from 1 species
GACGAACGCUGGCGGCGUGCUUAACACAUGCAAGUCGAACGGAAAGGCCCUGCUUUUGUUGGUUGCUCGAGUGGCGAACGGGUGAGUAACACGUGAGUAACCUGCCCUUGACUUUGGGAUAACUUCAGGAAACUGGGGCUCAUACCCGAUAGGAGCUCCUGCUGCAUGGUGGGGGUUGGUAAGUUUCGGCGGUUGGGGCUGGACUCGCUGCUUCUCAGCUUGUUGGUGGGGUAGUGGCUUACCAAGGCUUUGACGGGUAGCCGGCCUGAGAGGGUGACCGGCCACAAUGGGACUGAGAUACGGCGCAGACGCCUACGGGAGGCAGCAGUGGGGAAUAUUGCACAAUGGGCGGAAGCCUGAUGCGGCAACGCCGCGUGCGGGAUGACGGGCUUCGGGGGGUAAACCGCUUUCGCCUGUGACGAAGCGGGAGUGACGGUAAUGGGUAAAGAAGCACCGGCUAACUACGUG